AUCCAGUUGACGAGUCCGAAACAGGACGAAAUGUGUGUCCUGAUGGAU
rnacentral:hammerhead_ribozyme from 1 species